GUGAGGAAUAUUGGUCAAUGGAGGCAACUCUGAACCAGCCAUGCCGCGUGCAGGAUGACGGUCCUAUGGAUUGUAAACUGCUUUUGUACAGGAAGAAACAUUACUACGUGUAGUAACUUGACGGUACUGUAAGAAUAAGGAUCGGCUAACUCCGUGCCAGCAGCCGCGGUAAUACGGAGGAUCCGAGCGUUAUCCGGAAUUAUUGGGUUUAAAGGGUUCGUAGGCGGUUAGAUAAGUCAGUGGUGAAAUUUCCUAGCUUAACUAGGGCACUGCCAUUGAUACUGUUUAACUUGAAUAGUAUGGAAGUAACUAGAAUAUGUAGUGUAGCGGUGAAAUGCUUAGAUAUUACAUGGAAUACCAAUUGCGAAGGCAGGUUACUACGUACUUAUUGACGCUGAUGAACGAAAGCGUGGGGAGCGAACAGGAUUAGAUACCCGAGUAGUCC
rnacentral:rRNA from 1 species